rfam:Butyrivibrio hungatei strain MB2003 chromosome I, complete sequence.
GGAGCGAUAUCGAAGCGGUCAUAACGAGGCGGUCUUGAAAACCGUUUGGCGGCAACGCCACAAGGGUUCGAAUCCCUUUCGCUCCG